CCUCCUCCUCCUCCUCCUCCUCUUCCUAUUCCUCUUCUUACUCCUCCUUUUCCUUCUUUUUUGAUUUCUGGUUUUCCUAUUGUCUCUUUCUUAAUUCCUGGAGCUUUUUGUCCUUUUCUGUUUCCUAAGUUGUUGUUUUCCAGGUUUUGCAACUCUAGGUCCUGGAGAGAAUGUGAUAUGCUGCUAGAUUUUAUGCUGCCAUCUUCUUCUCCAUCUGAGUCUUGGGCAUCACCUGAUAUGGAAACUUUGGCUUUCUCUUCAUAAUGAAAGGAGUUGGCUAUGGAACAGGCACAAGGGAACUGGAAUAACAGGCAUGUGCCACCACACCCUGUUCAGGAAGCACUUUUUGAAGAUGUCCUUGUGUCUUUUUCUCCCAUCCAGUUGUGUACACAAGACAGUAUGGAGUACCAUGUGUAUGUAUGUGCGUUCUGUCACUACCAUUUCUGCAUGACUUAA
rnacentral:lncRNA from 1 species